rnacentral:misc_RNA from 1 species
GAUGAAGAACGUAGCGAAAUGCGAUAGGUAGUGUGAAUUGCAGAAUUCAGUGAAUCAUCGAGUCUUUGAACGCACAUUGCGCCCCCUGGUAUUCCGGGGGGCAUGCCUGUCCGAGCGUCAUUGCUGCCCUCAAGCACGGCUUGUGUGUUGGGCCUCCGUCCUCCUCCCGGGGGACGGGCCCGAAAGGCAGCGGCGGCACCGCGUCCGGUCCUCGAGCGUAUGGGGCUUCGUCACCCGCUCUUGUAGGCCCGGCCGGCGCUUGCCGACACAUCAAUCUUUUUUCCAGGUUGACCUCGGAUCAGGUAGGGAUACCCGCUGAACUUAAGCAUAUCAAUAAGCGGAGGA